UGAGGAAGGAGAAGUCGUAACAAGGUUUCCGUAGGUGAACCUGCGGAAGGAUCAUUGUCGUAUCCCGGCCCCAACGGCACACUCGCGAACUGUCCCCAUCCCGUCGUCGGUAGGUAGGACGCCCCCGCGCGCGGGACGCCGGCCGACCGACCGACGAACCUUUUCCGGCGCGGUCCGCGCCAAGGAACACCGACCGACGAGAACGCCCGCGCCGUCCUCGCUCCGUGCCUGGCCGCGCGGGCGCUCCCACGUACAGAAAUCUUAACGACUCCCGGCAACGGAUAUCUAGGCUCUCGCAUCGAUGAAGAACGUAUCGAAAUGCGAUACGUGGUGUGAAUUGCAGAAUCCCGUGAACCAUCGAAUCUUUGAACGCAAGUUGCGCCCGAGGCCGUCAGGCCGAGGGCACGCCUGCCUGGGCGUCACGCCCCGCGUCGCUCCCACUCCCCCCCCCACUGCCGGGCGGCGGCCGUGGGACGCGGAGAUUGGCCUACCGUGCUGCGGCGCGGCGGGCCGAAGUGCUCGAACCCUUCCCCGUGCGUGGGACGAGAACACGGCGAGUGGUGGAUUGGAUCGGACCGACCGACUCAUCGUCGCCGCGCCCUUCUCGCCCCGCCGCCCGGCGGGCGGGAUUCACGAAACCCAGCCGCGAGCGGCCGUUCGGAGGCGCCGCGCGCCGCCGACGCCCGCUCCGACCGCGACCCCAGGUCAGGCGGGGCCACCCGCUGAGUUUAAGCAUAUCAAUAA
rnacentral:rRNA from 1 species